AUGCUCUUUUGCAUCAAUAUAUAUUGCUUUGUGUUGUUAUCGUUUCUUAAGUAAAAAUAUUUAUGUGAACAAUUUUUUGAAAAUUAAAAUAGAGAAACAUUCAAGAACAUUUGUGCCUCUGCACGAUUUUGUCUUUAAGAUAUGCUUAAACAAGUAACACAAAUUUCUAAAGGAAUAGAGUUCUGUUGCAAUUUGAAAGACUUUUACAGCAACUUUUGCCAAAAUGAUCUUUACUCUAAGAUUAAAUUAGCUUAACAGUGUGGAUGAAUUAUUAGUUUUCAAACUUUUUUCUUUUUUGAAUGGCUAUGUUAUCAGAUUAACAGUGAUACAAUACAACUUUAAUCUCUGUUAAUUUAAAGAACCAUUGGACUGAAGAUAAAAAAUAAACUCCAUGUAAUUUAUAAGGAAUAUUAAAAAUGAAAUCCAUGUAAUUUUGAUCAGGUAAUGCUUGAUUUUGGUUUAAAUUAGGCUCACGGUUCACUCAUAGUAGGUAUUGGAUUUGAUUUCUCAUGAUGAUCUACCUAAGGUUCUCGUUUCUCAAGCUGUUUAAAUUCAAUGUAAAUGCUCAGCUUUAAUGAAAUGAGUAGAAUGAUUGAUAUGGUUUAGUUAAUAAGUCUACAGAUAGAAAUUAACUAACCUGUUCCAAUAAAGGAUGUGAAUCUGGUAGUUCAUACCUGCAUCAAAUCAGUUUGUUGAGAAGAUAAAAUGUAGCACAUCUCUUAAGAAUUACUCUGUAAAUGUAACUCCAUUGUGUUGCUAGUAUAGUUUUCUUAACACAGCUUUCAAGAAUAUUAAUUGGGCAGUGGCUAUGAAUACUAAUUCAGGAAUAGAGAUUAUUACUGGUUUAAGCUUUAGCGUGCUGAAAACUGACUUCGUAUGCUACGUAAGAAUGUAAUUACACUUGGUCUGUUCGGAGUCUACUGACAUUCCUCAGUUUAGGUAUAGGGAUGGAGGCAGCUUCUGGAUUCAAGGCAACCAAAGCCUUGGACAUGUCACCCUCUUGGAGCUCCAUGUUCUAUGUUAGAGAGAAUUAAGUACAUACUGUUUGCUUAUAUUUGGAACCUCUAAAGAGGGACCACUAUAAUAGUUUCUAAUAGCAGCAACCCUUUUUCUCUAUGGUACUUGUGUGUUCAACUUGAUUUUUGUUUCUUGCGUUCUUUAUAUUUUUUGUUAUCUUUAUUUUGCAGUGGUUUAACACAGUCAAAUCUACAAGGAGCUGUAUGUUCUUUAUGAAAGUACAAAGUCUAAUGCCAAAUUGCCAAUGUUUAUUAUUUGUUUUAGUUUAAUGAAAAGUACAAAGACAAAGGCAAAGAGAAAGCAAUCUACAGGGGUAAUAUUAGGAGAUGAUGUUUUGAAUUUGGUGAUUGAGGCAAGUGUGGAUCACUCUCUUGUUAUGGCUCUUGUGACUGGAUAUGGUUUAAUGCAGAGAAAGAUGUAAAUAACGACUACUGCAAUACAAUUUUUCAUUAGAUUUUCUUUUUCUUUUUUCUUUUUUGGGGGUGGGAAUUUGAACAAUUUUGUCCCCAGAUUAUAUAUUGAUGUGUAUGUUCAAAAUCUAAAGGUAAAGGGAAUUUGUAUAAAUUGCCACAAUGUUUGACAGUUAAGUUAUUAUUAGAUUAUACUACUUUCAUGUAUGUGGCCAACAAAUUAAAUUUAAACAAGUUAGAAACCAUUAAUUUCCA